CUUCACCGAGCCCAGCCACAGCGGACGGCCGGCGGGGCGGUCCUUGCCGUAGGCGGCGAUCAGCGCCUGGGCCUC
rnacentral:antisense_RNA from 1 species